rnacentral:rRNA from 1 species
GACGAACGCUGGCGGCGUGCUUAACACAUGCAAGUCGAACGGAAAGGCCCUGCUUUUGUGGGGUACUCGAGUGGCGAACGGGUGAGUAACACGUGAGUAACCUGCCCUUGACUUUGGGAUAACUUCAGGAAACUGGGGCUAAUACCGGAUAGGAGCUCCUGCUGCAUGGUGGGGGUUGGAAAGUUUCGGCGGUUGGGGAUGGACUCGCGGCUUAUCAGCUUGUUGGUGGGGUAGUGGCUUACCAAGGCUUUGACGGGUAGCCGGCCUGAGAGGGUGAACGGCCACAUUGGGACUGAGAUACGGCCCAGACUCCUCCGGGGGGCAUCAGUGGCGAAUAUGGCACAAUGGGCGGAAGCCCGAUGCAGCACCGCCGCGUGCGGGAUGACGGCCUUCGGGUUUUAGACCGCUUUCGCCUGUGAUGGAGUGUGAGUGACGGUAAUGGGUAAAGAAUCACGGGCUAACUACGUG